AUCACUCUAAGCGGUGGAUCACUCGGCUCAUGGGUCGAUGAAGAACGCAGCAAACUGUGCGUCAUCGUGUGAACUGCAGGACACAUGAACAUCGACAUUUUAACGCAUAUCGCAGUCCAUGCUGUUUGGUACUUUAAUUAAUUUUAUAGUGCUGCUUGGACUACAUAUGGUUGAGGGUGUAAGACUAUGCUAAAUAAGUUGUUUAAAAAUUUACGAAAUUUUUAAGCAUAUUGUAUAUUAUUGGAUAUAUAUAUAUAUAUUCAUAAUAUUGAUAUUAAAUGGAAACGCAUUAUCUCUCAUUGUUGUAUAUUUGUGUGAGAAGAACGAAGAAAAAUAUAUAUUUUUUUGUCCUUUUUGAAUCAAAUAAUACUGAGGAAUGUCUAGCAUAAAAAAAUAAUUAAAGUUUUUUCAUCUAGAAUUGCCUCUUAUUAAUGUUUCGAAAGGAAAUUUUGUUGUAAAUAUAAAUUUAAUAUUCUUCGUGAUAUUCGUUAUAAAAUACGAAUAUUAUAAUGAUUUCAUUAUGAGAACGCUCUAUAUAUAAUAAUAUAGUGUAAUUAUCAUUAUAAAUUUUAAUAUACGUAUAUACAACCUCAACUCAUAUGGGACUACCCCCUGAAUUUAAGCAUAUUAAUUAGGGGAGGAAAAGAAACUAACCAGGAUUUUCUUAGUAGCGGCGAGCGAAAAGAAAUCAGUUCAGCACUAAGUCACUUUGUCUAUAUGGCAAACGUGAGAUGCAGUGUAUGGAGCGUCAAUAUUCUAGUAUGAGAAAUUAACGAUUUAAGUCCUUCUUAAAUGAGGCCAUUUACCCAUAGAGGGUGCCAGGCCCGUAUAACGUUAAUGAUUACUAGAUGAUGUUUCCAAAGAGUCGUGUUGCUUGAUAGUGCAGCACUAAGUGGGUGGUAAACUCCAUCUAAAACUAAAUAUAACCAUGAGACCGAUAGUAAACAAGUACCGUGAGGGAAAGUUGAAAAGAACUCUGAAUAGAGAGUUAAACAGUUCGUGAAACUGCUUAGAGGUUAAGCCCGAUGAACCUGAAUAUCCGUUAUGGAAAAUUCAUCAUUAAAGUUGUAAUAUUUUAACAAUAUUAUAAUAAUAGUGUGCAUUUUUUCCAUAUAAGGACAUUGUAAUCUAUUAGCAUAUAACAAAUUUAUCAUAAAAUAUGACUUAUAGUUUAUUCAAAUUAUUAUGCUUGCAUUUUAACAUAGAAUAAAUGUCAUUAAUUUGAUAAGUGUUGAUAAAUUAAAAUUAAUACAGUGCGUUAAUUUUUCGAAAUUAUAUAAUGGCAUAAUUAUCAUUGAUUUUUGUGUUUAUUAUAUGCAUUUGUAUGAUUAACAAUGCGAAAGAUUCAGGAUACCUUCGGGACCCGUCUUGAAACACGGACCAAGGAGUCUAACAUAUGUGCAAGUUAUUGGAGAUAAACCUAAUAGCGUAAUUAACUUGACUAAUAAUGGGAUUAGUUUUUUAACUAUUAUAGAUAAUUAACACAAUCCCGGGCGUUCUAUAUAGUUAUGUAUAAUAAUAUUUAUAUUAUUUAUGCCUCUAACUGGAACGUACCUUGAGCAUAUAUGCUGUGACCCGAAAGAUGGUGAACUAUACUUGAUCAGGUUGAAGUCAGGGGAAACCCUGAUGGAAGACCGAAACAGUUCUGACGUGCAAAUCGAUUGUCAGAAUUGAGUAUAGGGGCGAAAGACCAAUCGAACCAUCUAGUAGCUGGUUCCUUCCGAAGUUUCCCUCAGGAUAGCUGGUGCAUUUUAAUGUUAUAAAAUAAUCUUAUCUGGUAAAGCGAAUGAUUAGAGGCCUUAGGGUCGAAACGAUCUUAACCUAUUCUCAAACUUUAAAUGGGUAAGAACCUUAACUUUCUUGAUAUGAAGUUUAAGGUUAUGAUAUAAUGUGCCCAGUGGGCCACUUUUGGUAAGCAGAACUGGCGCUGUGGGAUGAACCAAACGUAAUGUUACGGUGCCCAAAUUAACAACUCAUGCAGAAACCAUGAAAGGCGUUGGUUGCUUAAAACAGCAGGACGGUGAUCAUGGAAGUCGAAAUCCGCUAAGGAGUGUGUAACAACUCACCUGCCGAAGCAACUAGCCCUUAAAAUGGAUGGCGCUUAAGUUGUAUACCUAUACAUUACCGCUAAAGUAGAUGAUUUAUAUUACUUGUGAUAUAAAUUUUGAAACUUUAGUGAGUAGGAAGGUACAAUGGUAUGCGUAGAAGUGUUUGGCGUAAGCCUUCAUGGAGCUGCCAUUGGCACAGAUCUUGGUGGUAGUAGCAAAUAAUCGAAUGAGACCUUGGAGGACUGAAGUGGAGAAGGGUUUCGUGUGAACAGUGGUUGAUCACGAGUUAGUCGGUCCUAAGUUCAAGGCGAAAGCCGAAAAUUUUCAAGUAAAAAAUCAGUGAGUAAUAUUGUCAAAUCUUUUAUGAUUUUUAAAUACUUGAAUAAUUUGAACGAAAGGGAAUACGGUUCCAAUUCCGUAACCUGUUGAGUAUCCGUUUGUUAUUAAAUAUGGGCCUCGUGCUCAUCCUGGCAACAGGAACGACCAUAAAGAAGCCGUCGAGAGAUAUCGGAAGAGUUUUCUUUUCUGUUUUAUAGCCGUACUACCAUGGAAGUCUUUCGCAGAGAGAUAUGGUAGAUGGGCUAGAAGAGCAUGACAUAUACUGUUGUGUCGAUAUUUCUCCUCGGACCUUGAAAAUUUAUGGUGGGGACACGCAAACUUCUCAACAGGCCGUACCAAUAUCCGCAGCUGGUCUCCAAGGUGAAGAGUCUCUAGUCGAUAGAAUAAUGUAGGUAAGGGAAGUCGGCAAAUUAGAUCCGUAACUUCGGGAUAAGGAUUGGCUCUGAAGAUUGAGAUAGUCGGGCUUGAUUGGGAAACAAUACAUGGUUUAUGUGCUCGUUCUGGGUAAAUAGAGUUUCUAUCAUUUAUGGUAGUUACUUGUUCCCCGGAUAGUUUAGUUACGUAGCCAAUUGUGGAACUUUCUUGCUAAAAUUUUUAAGAAUACUAAUUGGGUUAAACCAGUUAGUUCUUAUUAAUUAUAACGAUUAUCAAUUAACAAUCAAUUCAGAACUGGCACGGACUUGGGGAAUCCGACUGUCUAAUUAAAACAAAGCAUUGUGAUGGCCCUAGCGGGUGUUGACACAAUGUGAUUUCUGCCCAGUGCUCUGAAUGUCAAAGUGAAGAAAUUCAAGUAAGCGCGGGUCAACGGCGGGAGUAACUAUGACUCUCUUAAAGCUCAUUUCUUACCGACGAAUUGAAUAAGGCCCGGGGUAGAACUCUGGCUGGACUGAAUGAGUUGACAUCGCGUACAGAGAUCGAAACGUACUGGCGAACAGGUUGUAUAUGUCUGUUGAUGGUCGCGGCUUACGUGAAGCGGGACUUUUUCGUCCCCAACACGGCUGGGUGUGUCAGCCCACGCGUUUGCUAACAGGUCAAGAUUACCGAAACAGUAUCAAGCUGCGAAUAAAUGCCCUACCAUCGAGGUCUCGUACCACGAGGGGCAGAAAUGAAUUGGAACGGCAAUGUCGUGCAGGUUGUGAUGCUCCCGAAACAACAAACCACAUCCUGCAGAAUUGUUACCGUACGCAUGGGAGGCGGGUAGCAAGACAUAACUGUGUAGUCAAUAACCUUAAGAGGAUUCUUGAGGAGAAGGGCCACACAGUACACGUCGAACCAAGUUUGCAGCUGGAAACCUCGGUAAGUAAACCAGACCUGGUGUGUAUCCGUGACAAUCACGCUUGCGUGAUUGAUGCGCAGAUUAUAACGGAUGGACUGUUUCUCGACGAUGUGCACCAUCGCAAAGUUGAGAAAUAUAAAAGACCGGAAGUUAUAUCUGCACUGCGGAGAGAAUUCGGAGUGUCGGGCAACGUCGAAGUCCUAUCCGCGACGUUAAACUGGCGGGGGAUCUGGAGCAAUCAAUCCGUUAGAAGAUUGAUAGCAAAGGGUCUCAUCUCAUCCGGUGACAGCAAUGUCAUUAGCGCCAGAGUGGUAACAGGCGGACUAUAUUGCUU
rnacentral:rRNA from 1 species